GCGAAAUAACCUCUUCCGCAACAUGCACGUACGCGUCUACUAUCGUCAAGAAACAAGCAAUACGUAUAAUCGUUGUGGUCUGUGGGAUUUUUUCCACAAGAAACGUCAUAUGUUCGUUUUGGGGGUGUGGGAGGGGGGUUUACAGCUGUGACGUUUCUCUGUAAAUAUCAUGGAAAAGUUCGAUAGCUUUUUCGAAUACCUUAACAUUUCGGAAUCAACUUUGCAGAGUAUAAAAAAGAAAACAACUUGAAAGAAAACGACUAUUCAAAUAUAAGGGUUGGUAAACUA